rnacentral:snRNA from 1 species
GUGCUCACUUCAGCAGCAUGUAUAAUAAAACUGGGAUGAUAAAGAGAAAAUUAAUAUGACCCCGAGAAAGGAUGACACAAAAUUAAAACCCUUCAGAGUAGAUUCU